CACGGUCCUGCCGCUCCUUCUCAUGGUCCUCCAGCUCUUUCAGUUUCAGUUCCAUUUUCCAACUCUAACAGUCUCAGCUCUACCGACCUGAACACGGCUGUGAAGAUCCCCUUCUGGUCGGAUGGGGAAACCGAGGCACGGAGCAAGUUAAGGGCUGGAUUCACUGUUGCCUUAGAGCCUAUUUGCACCAGCUGCACUGGCACAGAGGGGCCAUAGGGGAGGCAUGGGCCCCUCUCAGCGAAGGAUCCUAGCACAGGCCUGCACUCAGCUCUGCUGGAGCAGCCCUGGCAUCGAAGGGCACGCUGGGGUGGGCCAGGGCACUCAGUGAUUCUCAGCCCCUGCAACCGCCCAUUGGCAAACUACCUCCCUGUGGCUGCAUGCUGGGACGAACUAGACUUCAUGUGAGUUGGCCAAGAUCACACUGAGCUUGUGGCAGGGCCAAGGCUUGAUUCCAGAUGUCCUGAGUCCCAGCCCAGUGCACCAUUUGUACAGGGAUGGAAGGGCACCAGCUCCUCGACCUCUUGAAUAUCAGUGAGCAGCUCCCUGGCAUAUCUGGCUGGCAGUGGCAGGAUCUCAGCAUCCACUGAUGGCACUUUCCCUGUGUCCCUGAAACCAGCACCCUUUGCAGACUGCCCCCUCUCCCUGCACCCACACGCCAGCUAAACCAUUGGCAAGGUGGGACAGCCCCAGUCCGAAAGCUCCAUGGCCCCCCUUUCCUGACCAUGCCCUUGGAUCCUCCCAUGGCUUCCUGGCCCUAUAGGAGCAGGACAAACUUACCAGCCUCCCACCAACUCAUCUGAACCGUAGAUCCAACCAUUCAGCUGCCACAGAUAUGGCCAGCUGCAGCAACAUUGCCCUUCCACUCUCCCUUGGCAACCCCACGCAGCCGCCAGCUGAGACCAGUGAAUUGUGGCCCAGUGGCUAGGGCCCUGCACUGGCAGCCAGGAGACCAUGAGGAAGUCACUCCACCCAGAUCCGUGGAAGUUAGGAGGCUCAAUAUCUCUGAAGAACUGGGCCUGCCCCUCUCUGUGCACACUUUCCUCUCCCACCCUUUCUCUGCUUUAUCAGUUUUGGCUGUAAACCCUUUGCGGGAGGGACUGUCUCUUCCAAGGUGUUCAUGCAGUACCAGACUCCCUGGGCACUGAAUAAAGCUGAAAUAGAGCAACGAGAAGCCAGUUUUAAUGCUGUGCUAAUAUUCUCCAAACAGUCUGCCCAGCAUGCAAAGAUUUCCAAUGGGAAGUUAGCACAUGGAUUUUCAACAUGACCGUCCUCACACCACAUAUGGGCUCGCACACCCACCCUCCUCUGAGCAGGCAGGGGGCAGAUAAGCUGCCAUACAUAUAUUUUCUUUGGAUCCAAACCCCUUGAUCCCACUGGAUAAUAGCUCAGAAAAACUCUGCAGCAAUCAGCAUGAUGAAAGCCUAUGGCACUACCUCAUAGCCUCUAGGAAAUGCAUCACCAAGCCAUGACUCACAAGAGAAACAUCCAUGUUGGAGAGAUGACUAUGUAAAUAUCUCUGCAAAUGCAGGCUAAGCAACAAAAUGCAGCUCGACUCAAGCAAUCUCAGGGCCCAUUCAAUGACAGAAGGUAGGGCGACCAGAUGUCCCGAUUUUACAGGGACAGUCCCAAUUUUUGGGCCUUUUUCUUAUAUAGGCUCCUAUUACCCCCACCCCAUCCCAAUAUUUCACACUUGCUGUCUGGUCACUCUAACAAAGAGGUAGUGGCAAACCAUUACUUAGGAGAACAACAGUCAAGGGGCUUAAACCCUGUGCCCGAACACUUCUACAAUGGACUCAGUUACACAUGGAAAUUGUAGGCCAUACUCUGGACAGGUAACUUUUAUGCACCUAAAGGAAGCUGCAACUUGCUGUGCACCUUUGAAUCUCUGACUGUACCUGAAUCGAACAUUCACCUGUAGAGCUUCCUAGAUACCUAUGUAACUGGCAUGUGUAGCUGUGAUCCUGUCUACUCAAUUAUCUAAACAAUCCUUUCAAACCUGUCCAUUUGUGUUUCAAAGAUC